rnacentral:lncRNA from 1 species
AGGAAUCAGAAAUUAAGCCACAGCAUCAAUGAAUUUCUGAAGUAUUUUUACAUAGUUUUUAUACCUUGAGCCUUCUUUUAUACCUUGAGCCCUUAUCUUGAUAUCCCUUAAAAUUGUACCAGUUUAUCUCUUCACUGUAUUGCCUUGUAAAAAAAUAUUAAAUUCUCCUUCGGUUAAAAAGGAUAAUGUAAUCUACAUUGUCUUGUCCUAUUUUUUACUUUUUAGAUUUUUUUUUUUAACAAAAGUAAUACAGAACAUGGUUAAAAAUACAAAUAUUUCAGAAAAAAGCACACAUAUUAUAUGUAACACCUAUUAUGUGUGUAUGUGAAUGUUCAUAUACAUAUAAUUCUUCCCUCCAGGUUUACUUCUUAAAGGUUUAGGCCUCAUAAUAUAUUUACUCUUCUAUACCUUGGUCUUUUCACUUAAUACCUUUACCUUUACAAAAGAGUUCUCAGAGAAGUAUAUCAACAGCGUCUCCAAAUACAGUUGAAACACGAGGCAUAUUACCUUCACACUGACUGCAUGUUUGGCUUUUCUUAAGGAGUACCUUGUACAUCUAACUAAUUUAAAUAGUUAUUUUAAUGACUACCAUUACGCUACCAUCCAUGUUUUUUUUUUUUCCAAGAUAAUUUACCCGUAUCAAUUUUCACAUCUUCCUAUAAAUUUUAAGUAAACUGAACUUCCUAUAAAGUAAUAAUUUAAUAUUCACUCAUGAACAAAUAGUUACAUAGUAUAUUCUAGGUACUUUAUAAUUGGACGAAGACCACUGCUCUCAUGGGAUUUACACAUUAGCUCACUUACUGAGCAUAUCCACUUAAACAAAGUUAGCUUUUCCUGCUAUCUCCAUGUGAUUUGUCUUCAUUAUUUUGCUUUAAUUAUCUGAUUUUACUAUUCACAACUUCUAUUCCAACCAAGCCCAAUCACCCCUUUUUCCUUUUUAUUAUUAAAAUCACUAGUUAUACAGAAUAAAAAGUACAAAGACAAUAUAAUUUAAUUGGAUCCUUUCUAAAUUAGGAAAAUGUGUCCAUUUUAAGAUUUGUAUUUGAUUGUAAAGAAAUCAAAUUAGUUGCAUGUUAUUUAUAAAUAACACAUUCUGUAAUUUCUGAUUUGGCUUAUAAGUGAGCCCACUGUUUUUCUGUUAAUCAUACUCAGUGACUAAGCAAUCCACACCCUUGGUAUCAUCUUAGGUGAGGUAUGUGUAUGUGUCCCCCAGUAGCUACAUCACUUCCAAUUGUGCUGAUCCCACCACCUUCUCUGAAAAGUCACAGUGCUCUCCUUCACCACAACAGCCCAUCAUCCUAGGAGUUGCCAGUACAACAUGCAGCUGGACAAAUUAAGUUCAACCAAUUGAAAUUUGUAGGGAAAAAAAUUUUAAGCCUAACCAAUUAGUUAUUACACACGAACUAACAAUCGCGCCUGCCUAAUACCAGGAGUCAUGCCUCAAGUUUGGCUCAAGUACUCACUGUAGUUGAAGGUGGUAACAUUGUUAUUCUGAAUUUAAUUCCACUAAAAUUAUAUUCUAGAACUAGGACAUACUGGAAGGAUAAUGAACCAAAGGGAUAAAUAAAUGAAAUAAAUAUUGAUAAAAAUAAUCUUAUAUGGGAACAAAAUCUCCAAAUCUCAUCAGACUGAAUGAUUUUUGACUGCAUAUUAUUUGUCCUGCACUGUUUUGAUGCCCUCAUAAUUGAGUACACAAGGCAGACAAGUAACCAGGUAUUCUGAGUCUUAUAAAAUUACGCAAUACUGUCCUCUUUACUGAUGAGGAAGAUGAAAUUAGACUCAACUUUCAGGUCUUAUAAAAACCAACCCCAAAGGUCUGUUAAAUACUUACCUAUUAUUUUGUGGAGGAGUAAACUGUUCCUGGUUAUUAAUAAAGUUAACCUAAGUAAUUAGAGCUGUUAACUCUCAAUUACAAAGGGCUGAUUAUUUAGGACAUUACUUUCCCUUUUUGCCCCCUGCAUGUGAUCUAGCUUAUGGCUGUUACACCUACAAAAGACAAGGAAUGGGACACUGGCAGCAGGAAGACUCAGUGCCACCGGCUUCACUAGCUCCUACUAGCUGUGGGGGUAGCAGGCUUGCACAAAGUGGAACAUGUGUCUGUUAAUAAUGGAAGCUGGGAGGUUCCAGUGACAGAACAGUACCUGAUCUUUCCAGCUGUUUUAUCUAUAGACUGUCUUAUCUUCCUAGAAAACUGAAAGACGGAUGACAGCAGCAGAUUAUCUCCCAUGACCUGAAACAUCCAAAGAAAUUAUAUUAAAAUAUUACUACUGUAUUGUAAAACCAUUGAGAACACCAGUCACAGCCCACUAUGUUUAGGGGCAUUUAGUAUGUAUGCUAAUUUUAAUAAAAGGUCAAUGAAGAAUAUAAUUAGAAUUAAACUGUAUAACUAAACUAUAUAACUAAAUUGAGAAAGAGAAAUAAAUAUCAACAAAGGAGUUCCUUUUUUAAAAAAAACUUGUCAAGGUUCCAUGUUAUUUUGGUCCACACCACUUUUAAAAACCAAUCCAUAUUAUCUUAUCUUCAAUGACUAUCAUGAUCCUCUCUCUCAUGCCUCCAAAUCAAAUGAUAAUAAAAGGGAAAAUACAAAUAAUUUAGAAUACUAAAUUUAUUAUCUAUUCUUUCACCAAAUAAUAUGAACGUAGAGAUGAAGAUUACAAUCCCGCUCUUUGGAGCACAGUCUAGUGGGAGAGAUAAUUUUUUAAAAUUUACUCAAAAGAGGGGCGCAUGGCUCAGUUGGUUAAGCGUCUGACUUCAGCUCAGGUCAUGAUCUCUCAGUCCAGGAGUUUGAGCCCUGCGUUGGGCUCUGUGCUGACAGCUUAGAGCCUGGAGCCUGCUUCAGGUUCUGUCUGUCUGUCUCUCUCUCAAAAAUGAAUAAAUGUUAAAAAAAAAAUUUACUCAAAAGAGUAAGUUUUUAUUAUGGAGGUUGAUACCACCCUACUUGAAACUUAUGGGCAAAACGAGGGCUUGGCAAACUUCUGUAAAAGGCCAGAGAGUGAAGGUUUCAGGUCAUCUGGUCUCUGUUACAACUAUUACCAAACUCAGUGCUAUGAAAGCAGCUAUAGGUAACACACAAACGAGCAGGCAUGGCUGUGCUGAGAUACCGCUUUAUUUAUAAAAACAGGUGGCAGGCUGGAUUUGGUCUCCAGAAGCGAGAAAAAGGACUGAACAUGGGGCUAGAUGUGGGUUCCCAAAUCACCUCCUUGUAUGUCAAAACUGUAUUUAGACUCUGCAAGGCAAUCCAAAAAAUAAGAUAUGGCCUUGGAGGUUAAGAAGCUUUAAAGAGCCGUGUGGGAGUUAAAAGUACCUAGGAAAUACUGUUAAAUAUUUUAUCAAAAAGAACAUAAGUAAGUGCUAACUUUUGUGAAUUGGUGUGAGGCAAAUUCUAAUGAAAGGGAGUUCAGUGAAAGGAGGCAGAAGUAAGGAAGGCACCAUGGAAAAUGAGAACCCGAGAAUGACAAGGGUUGGGGCAUAAGGGUUGACAAAUCAGUGGGGGAUAAAAAGUUACUUAGGAUGUGAUCAGCAACAUACAGGCAGUAAAAAGGCUACAUAAACAUGAUUUUGAGAGCCUUGAGAAAACAAGCCAAAACAAGAGUGGAAGACAUGUAUCACUUAGGCCAGGGCAGGGAGUGCGUGUUAAAAGCAUCUAGAAUAGGGCACCUGGGUGGCUCAGUAGUUAAGCGCCUGACUUUGGCUCAGGUCAUGAUCUCAGGGUUUCUGAGUUCGAGUCCCACAUUGGGUGAGCUUGAGCCCCGCUUCAGGUGAGCCCCGCUUCGGGUAAAAACAUGAGCCCCACUUCGGGUGAGCCCUGCUUCUUUCUCUCUCUCCCUCACUCUGCCCCUCAUGGGAUUCUCUCUCUCUGCCCCCUGCUCACUUUCGCCACCCUCUGUCUCACAAAAAAUAGAUAAGUAAAUAAAAAUAAACCAAACAAACAAAAGCAUCUAGUAUAUAGUGCAGUGGCAGCCAUGGAGCUAGCUGUGUGCUUUCCCAUUGGGACAUUUUUUUCUACUUAGUAUUAUGCAAACAUACACAUUCUUACGUACUUUUAGCUCCUGUUCCUUAAAUCCAGGGAUGCACAGGAUGCCAGCCUAUGACCAAACCCUUUUUGCCCACUGCUGCUUUCUACAAUCUUCUCCUACCCAUGCCCUAAGGCUUUUUACCUGUACCACCCCUGCAUGUCGUCCUUCAAUUAGCUCGUUCCAUGGUGCCAUUUGAAAUAGCCAGUUUUUGGUGAAUAAACCAAACUAUCUCCUUGAAUUUUUCCCAAGCUCAUUUCAUCUAAUUUCCAUUAUCAUAAACCUUUCUAAUAAACCUCUCUUUACUUGAUUUGUCACUGCCACAUUUACUUAAUAAUUUUUAUCUGCAUUGGUUCACAAGUAUAUAGAAUUAAUCACAAUUCUUUUUAAAAAAUUUUUUAUGUUUAUUUUUGAGAGGGGGGGAGGGGCGAGGGAGAGGGAAACACAGAACCUGAGGUAGGCUUCAGGCUCCAAGCUGUCAGCACAGAGCCCGAUGCGGGGCUCCAACUCAUGAACCGUAUCAUGACCUGAACUGAAGUUGGUUGCUUAACCAGCUGAGACACCCAGGCACCUUUAAUCACAGUUCUUAAUUCAUGACAUAGCUCACUAGUCCAACACGGACCACUUUUUCUUUCUUUCUCACGAAUAACGUAAGAAGCACUUACGAAUCUAACACCAAAACAAAGGCUAGAAUGCAACAAUAAGCCAUUUGCUCCCGAUGCCAUAGGAAGAGGAUACUUGCCUCUGACCUCAAGCUGUGUGAUUUGGUUUCACCAAUGGGACAGUAGCAGACACGACAUGAACGUGAAGUGUGCCUGCAUGGUGGGGCUUGCUCCCUUGUGUUUCUGAUAUAACCACAAGAACAUGCCUUAGCCAGCCCACUCGUCCAAUCAAUAAAAGACACAUGGGGCAGACCUGGACUCAACCUAUAACUUUUUUUUUUAAAGAUAUUUCAAAGUUUAUUUGAGAGAGAGAGAGAGAGAGAGAAUAUGGGGAGGAGCAGAGAGAGAGGGAGACACAGAAUCUGAAGCAGGCUCCAGGCUCUGAGCUGUCAGCACAGAUCCCGACACGGGGCUCGAACUCACGAACUGCGAGAUCAUGACCUGAGCUGAGUUGACGCUUAGCCGACUGGGCCACCCAGGCACCCCUCAACCUGUAACUUUCAAUUGUCCAGCUGAGCUGUCCCAGUUAACCCACAGGUAUGUGAUAAAUUUAUGCUUACUGCUCUAUGCCAGUGAGAUUUUUGUGGUUUGUUAUACAGAAAUAGCUGACUGAUAGAAUCUACUUCUACUUCUAUGGUUUCCCCUCCCCAUUUCCCUAUUGCCCUCCGCCCAAGUUGAACAGUAUCUUAAAUUCCAUUCAUCAUUCCCUUGCUUUCCUUUUUAUAUCAUGUGUUACUUCCAUUUCUGUCCUAAGUAUAUCUUUUCAUUUUUAAAAAAUGUAUGAGAAAGAAUCACAUUAUAUACCUUCUGAGAAUUGCUUUUUUCAUUUACUUUUAUACUGUUAAAAUUCAUCCAUGUAGUGGCAUAGUGCUGUACUUCAUUUAUUUUUAUUACUCUGUAAGUAUUCAAUUUGUGAACAUACCAGUUUAUACAUUCUCUUUCUGCUGAUAAAAAGUUAGACAGUUCCCAAGUUUUUGUUAGGCCCAUAGUGGUACUAUAAAUAUUCUUUUGCAUGACUUCUUUUGGCAAUAGGAAAGGGUUUCUCUUGAGCAUGUACUAGAGGUAAAACUGCGUGAUAUGAUCAUGUGACAUGUUUACAUUCAACUUCAGGAAAUAAUGUCAAACUGUUUUUCCAAAGUGUGCCAAUUUAACGUCUAGUGGCAACACAAAAAGGAGUCUAUGUAUCCAAGCUCUCCAAUACUUACUAUUUUAAGAUUUUUAAUUUAUUGCCAAUUGAAUAAGAAUCACAUUUUCGCCCUGAAAUGUAUUUCUCUGAAUACUCAUGAGGUUUAACAUCUCUAUUUUGUAGACUUCAGUUAAUUUCUUUUCAGUCAAAUGCUUUUCAUGUCUUUUGGAGAUUUUUCUGUGGAGACUGUUUUUGCUUUAAUUGAUUGGUAGGGCCUUCUUUAUGUAUUCUGUAUACUACUCCUUCAUUGACUGCAUGUUUCACAAAGUCUUUCAAUAUACUCUAAUUUAUCAGUCUUUUAUUUUAAAGCUUUUUUUGUGUCUUUUUUUGAAAGACAUUUACCUAUACUUCUAACUAAAAGUUUUAAAGUUUUGCUUUUGUCCUUUAGAAACUUAACUCAUUUGUAGUUGAUUAUUUUGUACAUGAUUUAAUGUCAAGAUGAAACUUCACUCUAUUCAUAAGGGCAAGCACUUUUUUCCCCAGCCCCAUUUAUUGAACAGUUCCUUCUUUUCCCACAACAGGACAUGUUUCCUCUGACAUUUGUUAAAGUUUGUGGUUUACUUACUUCAUCUCUGCUCCAGGUUCUCCGCCUUGUAAUUGUUAAGUGAUCAGGAGGCUCUGUUGGUUGAGGUCUUGGAUCAUUAGACCGACCGUUGUUUCCUUCUGGUGUUUUAGAAUGAACUAAUGGAGGGAUCUUUCGGAAGUUGAGGCUUUCAUCAAAAACACGAUCAACCAACUAAUAGGACAAAAGCAUAUCCUUAUGAGAAUAAUUUGGGUAAGUACCGAUAUUGGCAUUAUAAUUUUUUUUAUUAGACAGAAGUUAUUACAUUCUCAAGUAGUAACAGAAGCAUGAUAUCUUCAAUAAACCAAUUACUCUUUCUUUUUAUAAGUUCUUCAAAGGUGCCUGUUUAAUAAAAUAGAUGUUCAUCUACAUAGAUUUUUAAAAUCCAAAACACAGAACUUUGUUAAGUUCAAUCCUUCCAUGGAUAAGAUUUCCCCCAACUGUAAAACAGAUAGUAAAUAGAAAAAGCUGAGCCAUGUAGAUGGACAAGUUCAUUUUACUCACAAUGCCUUACCAAUGUAAAAUAAUGUUUCUUUUUCUUUUAGUUUCCUAUGUUGUUUUUUGUUUUUCUUCCCCAAAUCCAGGUGCCAAAUUUCUUCACAAAUACAUAAAUUGCAAAUUCCAAUUAAGUUUACAAAGGAAA